UUUUUUUGAUGCAAAUAAAGGGAA
rnacentral:snRNA from 1 species